CGGCGAGGUGGUCGAGGAAGGCGGCGGGCGGGCGGCGCCCCCGCCCGCCGCGCUCGGCGCCCUCGUUCAGGAGUCGAGCGCGCCGC
rnacentral:tRNA from 1 species